AGAGUUUGAUCAUGGCUCAGGAUGAACGCUAGCGGGAGGCCUAACACAUGCAAGCCGAGCGGUAGAUUACUUUCGGGUAAUUGAGAGCGGCGUACGGGUGCGGAACACGUGUGCAACCUGCCUUUAUCAGGGGGAUAGCCUUUCGAAAGGAAGAUUAAUACCCCAUAAUAUAUUAUUCGGCAUCGGGUGAUAUUGAAAACUACGGUGGAUAGAGAUGGGCACGCGCAAGAUUAGCUAGUUGGUGAGGUAACGGCUCACCAAGGCGACGAUCUUUAGGGGGCCUGAGAGGGUGAUCCCCCACACUGGUACUGAGACACGGACCAGACUCCUACGGGAGGCAGCAGUGAGGAAUAUUGGACAAUGGGUGGAAGCCUGAUCCAGCCAUCCCGCGUGCAGGAAGACGGCCCUAUGGGUUGUAAACUGCUUUUAUCUGGGGAUAAACCUACUUACGUGUAAGUAGCUGAAGGUACCAGAAGAAUAAGCACCGGCUAACUCCGUGCCAGCAGCCGCGGUAAUACGGAGGGUGCAAGCGUUAUCCGGAUUUAUUGGGUUUAAAGGGUCCGUAGGCGGACUGAUAAGUCAGUGGUGAAAUCCGACAGCUUAACUGUCGAACUGCCAUUGAUACUGUUAGUCUUGAGUAAGGUUGAAGUGGCUGGAAUAAGUAGUGUAGCGGUGAAAUGCAUAGAUAUUACUUAGAACACCAAUUGCGAAGGCAGGUCACUAAGUCUUAACUGACGCUGAUGGACGAAAGCGUGGGGAGCGAACAGGA
rnacentral:rRNA from 1 species